rnacentral:hammerhead_ribozyme from 1 species
AUUCAGUGACGAGUCCCAUAUAGGACGAAAUGCGCAUCCUGGGU